GUUAUGCUGCUUUGGUUUGCCGCAUUCUGGUUUGUAGGAUCUUGGAUAAUUCGAUUCCUAGCUCACACAGCUGGGUUCAGAAAGGAAUCCUUGAUAUACAGUGGUCAAGCACUGUACAGCAUCUAGACUGAUGUGACUGAAGGUCUAGCUGGGAUGAUAAUUCUUCAUUGUUACUCUGCAAGAUUUCAUCCAUUCCUCCUGACUGGUUCAAGU
rnacentral:misc_RNA from 1 species